AGUGAACGCUGGCGGUAGGCCUAACACAUGCAAGUCGAACGGCAGCACAGUAAGAGCUUGCUCUUACGGGUGGCGAGUGGCGGACGGGUGAGGAAUACAUCGGAAUCUACUUUUUCGUGGGGGAUAACGUAGGGAAACUUACGCUAAUACCGCAUACGACCUACGGGUGAAAGCAGGGGAUCUUCGGACCUUACGCGAUUGAAUGAGCCGAUGUCGGAUUAGCUAGUUGGCGGGGUAAAGGCCCACCAAGGCGACGAUCCGUAGCUGGUCUGAGAGGAUGAUCAGCCACACUGGAACUGAGACACGGUCCAGACUCCUAUGGGAGGCAGCAGUGGGGAAUAUUGGACAAUGGGCGCAAGCCUGAUCCAGCCAUACCGCGUGGGUGAAGAAAGCCUUCGGGUUGUAAAGCCCUUUUGUUGGGAAAGAAAAGCAGCAGGUUAAUACCCCGCUGUUCUGACGGUACCCAAAGAAUAAGCACCGGCUAACUUCGUG
rnacentral:rRNA from 1 species